rnacentral:tRNA from 1 species
UCCCGGCUCGUCCAAUGGCAGGACAAGAGACUUUGGAUCUCUGAAUGGGGGUUCGACUCCCUCGCCGGGAGCCC